UACGGAGGGGGCUAGCGUUGUUCGGAAUUACUGGGCGUAAAGGGCGCGUAGGCUGUGCUGUAAGUCAGGCGUGAAAGCCCCGGGCUCAACCUGGGAAUUGCGCUUGAUACUGCGGCGCUGGAGGGUGGGAGAGGAUGGCGGAAUUCCCAGUGUAGAGGUGAAAUUCGUAGAUAUUGGGAAGAACACCGGUGGCGAAGGCGGCCAAUCUG
rnacentral:rRNA from 1 species